rnacentral:rRNA from 1 species
GACGAACCGUGCGAACGUUAUUCGGAAUCAUUGGGCUUAAAGGGCGCGUAGGCGGGCGACCGCGUCGAUGGCUGAAAGCCCCCGGCUUAACCGGGGAACGGGCCACGAUACGGGUCGCCUCGAGGCGAGGAGGGGGACCUGGAACGUCCGGUGGAGCGGUGAAAUGCGUUGAGAUCGGACGGAACACCGACGGCGAAAGCAAGGUCCUGGACUCGUUACUGACGCUGAGGCGCGAAAGCCAGGGGAGCGAACGGG